GACCUGAUGCAGCCAUGCCGCGUGUGUGAAGAAGGCCUUCGGGUUGUAAAGCACUUUCAGUUGUGAGGAAAAGUUAGUAGUUAAUACCUGCUAGCCGUGACGUUAACAACAGAAGAAGCACCGGCUAACUCCGUGCCAGCAGCCGCGGUAAUACGGAGGGUGCGAGCGUUAAUCGGAAUUACUGGGCGUAAAGCGCACGCAGGCGGUUUGUUAAGCUAGAUGUGAAAGCCCCGGGCUCAACCUGGGAUGGUCAUUUAGAACUGGCAGACUAGAGUCUUGGAGAGGGGAGUGGAAUUCCAGGUGUAGCGGUGAAAUGCGUAGAUAUCUGGAGGAACAUCAGUGGCGAAGGCGACUCCCUGGCCAAAGACUGACGCUCAUGUGCGAAAGUGUGGGUAGCGAACAGGAUUAGAUACCCUGGUAGUCCACACCGUAAACGCUGUCUACUAGCUGUUUGUGACUUUAAGUCGUGAGUAGCGAAGCUAACGCGAUAAGUAGACCGCCUGGGGAGUACGGCCGCAAGGUUAAAACUCAAAG
rnacentral:rRNA from 1 species